UGUUUCUAUUAAUAAUACUUAAUUGGAAUGCUGUGGUUGAGAAAAUCACUAAAAAUGAAGCAAUUGAGCGAUGUGAUAGGUGCCUUUGGGACUUUGGAGGCUAUAAAUACGUGUUGGCAUGGGUUAUCUAUAUGUACAAAAGGGAAUUUGAAUUAUUUCUACCCAGCCAAAUAGCAAUUAGUAUUUCAUAAUAAUGAUAAGGGCCAUCUUUGUUGCAUUCUUGCUUUUGUCUUAUAUUUUUACAUUCUUUCUCACAUCAACCGUAGCUAGACCUUCCGGAGUAUGUGAUCCAUUUUGCAAUGAAACGCAUGUGUGUGCACGGUCACUACUACUGGCUUGUCCUCCUCCUCCUCCUACGGCGCAUUCAGGCCAUGGCUAAGAAUUGACACAUGGACGGAAAGAACCUCGCCGGGUACGAACCGGAUAUGAACGAAUAAAUUGGAUAGAUCUCCGCAACACUAUUGUUCACAGCAUUCAUAUACAUACAUCAAAAUUAUUCAAAGUGUAGUUUGUAUUAUCUGUGAAAUAAGACGUAGUGACUUCUUGUUGACGAUUGAUUAGUUGUAAUGGAUUCUGGAUACGAAGUGUAAUAUUAUUGGUAGAGGAAUACAA